GAACAUCCUCCAAGGCUAAAUACUCCUGACUGACCGAUAGUGAACCAGUACCGUGAGGGAAAGGCGAAAAGAACCCCGGCGAGGGGAGUGAAAAAGAACCUGAAACCGUGUACGUACAAGCAGUGGGAGCACAGGUUUACCUGUGUGACUGCGUACCUUUUGUAUAAUGGGUCAGCGACUUAUAUUCUGUAGCAAGGUUAACCG
rnacentral:rRNA from 1 species